rnacentral:rRNA from 1 species
CCUACGGAGGGCAGCAGUGGGGAAUAUUGGACAAUGGGGGCAACCCUGAUCCAGCCAUGCCGCGUGUGUGAAGAAGGCCCUCGGGUUGUAAAGCACUUUCAGUGAGGAAGAACGCCUGGUGGUUAAUACCCAUCAGGAAAGACAUCACUCACAGAAGAAGCACCGGCUAACUCCGUGCCAGCAGCCGCGGUAAUAAGGAGGGUGCGAGCGUUAAUCGGAAUUACUGGGCGUAAAGCGCGCGUAGGUGGCUUGAUAAGCCGGUUGUGAAAGCCCCGGGCUCAACCUGGGAACGGCAUCCGGAACUGUCAAGCUAGAGUGCAGGAGAGGAAGGUAGAAUUCCCGGUGUAGCGGUGAAAUGCGUAGAGAUCGGGAGGAAUACCAGUGGCGAAGGCGGCCUUCUGGACUGACACUGACACUGAGGUGCGAAAGCGUGGGUAGCAAACAGGAUUAGAUACCCUUGUAGUC